GAGGAAUAUUGGUCAAUGGACGAGAGUCUGAACCAGCCAAGUAGCGUGCAGGAUGACGGCCCUAUGGGUUGUAAACUGCUUUUAUAAGGGAAUAAAGUGAGUCUCGUGAGACUUUUUGCAUGUACCUUAUGAAUAAGGACCGGCUAAUUCCGUGCCAGCAGCCGCGGUAAUACGGAAGGUCCGGGCGUUAUCCGGAUUUAUUGGGUUUAAAGGGAGCGUAGGCCGGAGAUUAAGCGUGUUGUGAAAUGUAGAUGCUCAACGUCUGCACUGCAGCGCGAACUGGUUUCCUUGAGUACGCACAAAGUGGGCGGAAUUCGUGGUGUAGCGGUGAAAUGCUUAGAUAUCACGAAGAACUCCGAUUGCGAAGGCAGCUCACUGGAGCGCAACUGACGCUGAAGCUCGAAAGUGCGGGUAUCGAAC
rnacentral:rRNA from 1 species